AUGAGAGACCUUAGCGGUGCCUCAUGGGAUGAGAACACUUGCUCCAUAGUUCUGGAGGCAGAGCACUACGCCAGCCAUGUCGCGGGUGGCUUCAGCGACGAGGCUCUCAUGGUAGCUCUCAGCCACCUGCUUGACAACAAGGCCCAGGGUGUUGGGUUCGUUGCCAUGGCCGACGCUCACAGGGGCAAGUGGUAUGCCGUGUUCAUCGAUAAGGUCCCAGGGGUUUAUAGUUCAUGGGAAGAAGCCAGUGCACAAGUGGCAUCGUAUAGCAACAACACUCAUAAAGGGUUCAAGACUAGGCAGGCAGCAGAACAAGCUUACUCCGAGUGGGUGCGAAUGCACGGCAGCACUGUUGACAGUCGCAAGGUUGGAGGUGUCAAGGUGGAUCGUCAGUUUGGGCUGAAGCUGAAGAACUUCAUCAUCUUCGCCUAA
rnacentral:rRNA from 1 species